rnacentral:rRNA from 1 species
AAGCCCUACGGGACGCAGCAGUGAGGAAUAUUGGUCAAUGGGCGGGAGCCUGAACCAGCCAAGUCGCGUGAGGGAAGACGGUCCUAUGGAUUGUAAACCUCUUUAGGCGGGGAGCAAUGCCGGGCACGCGUGCCCGGAGGGAGAGUACCCGCAGAAUAAGCAUCGGCUAACUCCGUGCCAGCAGCCGCGAUAAUACGGAGGAUGCGUGCGUUAUCCGGAUUUAUUGGGUUUAAAGGGUGCGUAGGCGGAUUUUUACGUCAGCGGUAAAAUGUCCGGGCUCAACCCGGGCCUGCCGU